rnacentral:rRNA from 1 species
CCUACGGGGGGCAGCAGUAAGGAAUCUUCCACAAUGGACGAAAGUCUGAUGGAGCAACGCCGCGUGAGUGAAGAAGGGUUUCGGCUCGUAAAGCUCUGUUGGUAGUGAAGAAAGAUAGAGGUAGUAACUGGCCUUUAUUUGACGGUAAUUACUUAGAAAGUCACGGCUAACUACGUGCCAGCAGCCGCGGUAAUACGUAGGUGGCAAGCGUUGUCCGGAUUUGUUGGGCGUAAAGCGAGUUCAGGCGGUUCAAUAAGUCUGAUUUGAAAACCUUUGGUUCAACCGGAGAAUUGGAUC